rnacentral:rRNA from 1 species
UACGUGGGGUGCGAGCGUUGUUCGGAAUUACUGGGCGUAAAGCGUGUGUAGGCGGCUCGUCAAGUCUGAUGUGAAAUCUCUGGGCUUAACCCAGAAACUGCAUCGGAAACUAGCGGGCUAGAGUGAGGCAGAGGAGCGCGGAAUUCCCGGUGUAGUGGUGGAAUGCGUAGAUAUCGGGAGGAACACCAGUGGCGAAAGCGGCGCUCUGGGCCUAAACUGACGCUGAGGCGCGAAAGCGUGGGGAGCAAACAGG